AUUAUUAGGCAAAAGAACCAUAGUGGUUGGCACGAUAUGCAGAGACAAAAGAGAGCUCCCAAAAGUUUGUAAAACGAAGAACGAUACCAUAGCUCGCUUUUCGUCACUGCUGUAUCGAUCAAAUGAGAUUAUACUCACAAUUUAUAAAGAUUUAGCUGACAUAAAUGCCUGGAUUUUAUAUAAGGAAAGCACAGGUGAGCAGAUAUCCAGAAAAGAUUUUAUUUUUCAAUUAGCAGAUGAACUUGCCACUGACAAUGAAAAAUCAUGGAUAGAGCAAAGAGCAUCCGAGAUCCAAAGUACGUCAAUGAACUCACCUUAUUCAUGCAAAUGGCGUCAGAUAGGGUACUGUAAUAAUAAUAAGACCACCACCAUUUGCAAUCUUUGUAAAAAAUAUGUAUGCGGAAAGUAUACGCGGAAGAACUUUUACGUUUGUAAGAAAUAUGACGAAUGAUAACUUUUGUACUUAAUAAUUAAAGUUAUAUUUGUAUUUUAUUUAUUCUAUUAUGCUUAUUAUUAUAUUAUUAUAUUAUACUUCUUAUAUUUACCAACGGAAAUUUAUUUUAAUAUUCUUGUUACCAAUGAUUUUGUUAUUAAAUAUUCUUCAUUAUUGUACUUAUUGUUAUUAUUACAGUUGCUAUUAUACAGUUUCUAUGUCAGAACAUGGAGUUCCUUUUGUAAAGUAAUAAUAAAUCAAUAAAUAUAAAAAUAUUCUACUAUUACGUAUCUUUUGAAGACCUGUCAUUUUGCCUGGUUUUGGUAGAGAUAACUAUAUUUCAAAUGUCGGUAGUUCCAGUCUGAAAUAAUAAUAAAAAGUACCUGAAUGUCUGAAUCGGAUACUCCAAAAUCUAGAUUCGAUACAAGGAGCUUGGUUGUCCCUGCGCUACCUAUUGAACUUCGGCCAACCUUUUUUACUCCAUCAAACAUGUCGUGUUUCCAAGCACUGUUUACAUCGCCC
rnacentral:misc_RNA from 1 species